GUCAGUAUAGUGCAGUUAGAGCCAAACAGUGAAUAUCGUUAGUUUAUAGUGCGUCGUCAUUAAUCCUUAAAAAUGACAUCAAUAAAGAAUUUUCGUGUCAUGGGCUUCAUUUAUACCGGGCUAUGUCUGACAGGAUCAAUUUUAUUGAUCAUCAAUUCGAGCAAUACAGUGAAAUCAAUUAAUGUUUAUCAAGGUGAAGCAAUCAGUGGCGUCAGCAUUGUAGUGCUUGUUAUAUCCCUAGUUUCACUUAUUUUCAAUGCUCUUCUUACAUCUGGAUUGUUGAUGAAUCGAGUGGAAUUCAUCAGAUAUCAUCUGCGGUUCAUCUCAACUGUUUACGUGCUGAUUCUUGCCGGACUGUUUAUCGGUUGCAUUGUGGGUGGUAUCACCAUAGGAAAUAACAACGUAGAAAAAGCUGAUGCCAUCGGUGCAGUAGCAAUCGGUAUGACAGUAUCGGUCAUGAUUGUGAUAACACUUGUAACUCCAUCGAGUGGAAUUCAUCAGAUGUUAUCUAUGCUUCAUCUCAAUUAUUCACGCGCUAAUUUUUGCUGGACUAGUUAUCGGUUGCAUUGCAGCUGGUAUCUGGAUAGGCCAAAUCCGUGGUGAAACUGCUGAUGAAAAUGGUAGACUGGCAUACGGUAUGACAAUAUUGGUCAUGACUGUGAUAAUACUUCUAACUCUUCAAUUUACUUUGAUUGUUUGGAUACUCAAAGGUGUAAUGCGUGCUAGUUCGAAUGAUAGCAUGCGUUUGGUGGCGUCUGGUGAUGCGGAUGAAAUGACCUAAAUGAAGAGAGGGGUACUAAACACAGUCUAUAUAAAAAUACGGUACUAGUGUUCUCACAGCUAAUAAAGUACAACAUGUAUUAACUUUCAAAAAUAAAUCUAUAAAUAAAAAUUAAAAUUUUGCUCGAAUAGGCAUACUUCUACGAGCAUCUUA